rnacentral:lncRNA from 1 species
CAGCUAAUACUCAUGUGUGUCAUAGUAUAAAAGGAAGGCGCAUCUUUUGACUGAUUAUACUUCAGCCUAGGACAUACAGCUUCUUCUAAUUUCUGUUUAGAAUGGUGUAUAUAUAUAUCUCUCUAUAUAUCUUUCCUUGACCAAAAGUGGGCCAAGAGCAUAAAUAAAGAAGUCUACAUACAACUUUAUUUCUGCAAAACAUGUUGUAAUCAAAUUCUGUAUACUACUGACUUUUUAACUCCAUUGUAAAUACUUUUCUCACACAAGCACUUACCAAAACCAGGGUUGAAACAGGUGUGUUACUCUAUCUACAGCUGUUCUAUAUGACAGAAGGCAUAAAUAAAAUAUAAAAGAAAAGAAAAAAUGAAAAGCCUGUUUGAUUUCUUCCACAGCUGCAGAGCAUGUCAAACCAGUUUCUGAUAGCAAGAAAGGGUAGAAGUCAAAAUUCAACGUAUAUGACUUCAGGGGAGAAUUUUCUGAUGAUUUAGAGAAUGUAUGUUACCUUCACACUACUAUUGCUUUCAAAUGUCCCUUGCUAGGAUUGUAGCUACACAACAGACAUCCUGAAUAAUCUAUUGGAGUAAAUUCAGCAAACUAGGCAAGGAGCAAAGAGAGGGAUCAGGAUUUUGCUGGCUCUAAGUUUGGAGCAGUGACAUGGACUGAGCCCACACAGAGCUCUGAACACUACACAGGAAGAAUAACUGUCCAUUUCGAUCUCUUGGUAGCAUUUGUUUCUGCAUCUUGAAAAUGGACACUCACAAGGUUUCUGCAAAGAGUAUAACAUGCCACUCUCCCAGGAAGUGUCUGUGUUUUGCAAUUUGUUUUACAUAGCAGGUCACUGUGCUUCAUUCUCACACCUCUCUAGACUGUGGAAAAAGAUAAGCCAGACAAAGAUCAUCCAUAUGCAUGAAGAGCUUUAAAAGAAGAUGAUUAACUCAUGUUUGCAACAUAAAUUGAUCACUUAAAAGAAAAAGAAAAUAAAUAAGUGACUGGGACUCAGAAAGCAAACUUCCAUCAUAAUCCCACAGUAGUAUAUAUGAAUCAUCAUAUGUUAGAUGGCACCGCAGUCUCAUAAGCCCCAAUCUCAUUGUUUUCUGUGCAUAGGUUCUUGUAACCCUGACCAAGGUCUGAAAUCAGGGAAAAUUUAAUAUAGAAGGAAAAUCUUUGAAAUGUUGAAGCCACAUAUUUUUUUUUUUCUACUCUUUCCAAAUCAGGCAUAUGGAUAGCCUAUUACAAUUGAAAAAUGAUGGUAGGACUCCCUUGACAGAGAGUCUUACAUUAUGACAGAGAAAUUCCAAAGAAAUACUUAAUGUGUAGAUGAGAAGGAACAGUAUUUUUCCAGUGAUCAUGAAGUGAGAAUGUAUCCAAGUGAUUUAGCUACACACAAAGGGAUAUUUCUUAUAAAUGUUACACAGAAAUUCUGAAAUUUGGAAAAAAUGUUCACAAAACAUCUUAAAGUAUUUCCCAGCUAUAAAAGUUGGUGAUUUUUUUUUUUUUUUUUUUUUUUAUAGCAGGGUGGAUAUUUUCUAGUGGGAUUUGCAAUGAAUAUGAAACAUAUCCUACAGGAAUUUUCCAAUUUUGAUAAAGGUACAUAUCUUAAGAUAGGACCAAAAAGAAAGUCUGUUCAUUACUAUGUUAAUAAGUUCAGACAAUAAAAUCAUUUUAUAUUAAUCAAAACAUUUGGUUUAGUCCCCCCCCCUUUUUCAAAAAAGCUUAACAUGCUUUACUCUAAAAUAUCAUUUUAUGUCAAUAUUAUCAAUAAAUUCAUGUUUUUGAAAUAUAAACAUGAGAUUUUUGAACAAAUGUUCACUAUUAUAUUCUUUAAAGUUUUUUAAUCUGGAAAGAGUCUAUUUUGUAGUUUGUUUUCAUGGAUCAUCAUUUUUAGUAAAAACAAAGUUGAUUAAAAAUUUUCUACCACUCGUACUUUUCAGCCAACUUCCCUUAUCUUUCCUGUGCAAUCUGACCUAUAUUUUUAUUCUGUGCUUCUCAGAACUUUCUGCUUAAGGGUAGACUGACAAUCUUCUUGAUGCUAUCCCUGAUUUUUGCAUUACAGGGAUCUAAAAUUUGAUGAUGCUUCCUUUUGCUUUAACAGUAGUUAGCUCCUGAAAAAUGAGGGAGGGAGUAGAGAGGUUUAGCACAUGCUUUUUGCAGCUCCUUAGUCUUGGGACAAGCUAGAAAUUCCAUAUUUUUAUUCCAUAAUAUUUUUUAUUUCCAUACUUUCAACUUCAAUACUUUAAAAUAGCAAGGAAUAUAAAAAAAGAGAAAAAACUGAGGAACAGCUCCUGUAUUUAAGUUGAUGUAAUCUUGAUCAAGAUUUCCCCUAGCAAAAUAAAAGAAUUGCCGAUGUGAACUUUAUAAUUAACCAGCCCAGAAAAUAUGAGAAAGCGAAACUCUCUUACUCUGUCAGCAGGAGGCAAACUUAGAGGACAAGAAGAGGCUGGAUAUGUAGUAUGCAGUAACUGUGGAUUGCUUCCAGGCUUUUUGAUCCAGUUGAAACGUCUCUGAAGAGCAUUAAGCCAUCCCAGUAUUUACUGAGGAGAAAUGCCAUUUUUCCACUUUAAAAGUGGGAUCUGGACAGUGGAAAUAAGUAAGAUUAUUUCUGGAGAACUCAGUAGAUUUGUUAGCCUUAAAUAUCAAGAUAGCCUUCUCCUAUUGCUUUCUGUUUCUGCUCUCCUUCCAGUAGUCCCUUGGCCCAUAAGAAAUGACAGUGAAAAGGUAAUAGAAAUUAAAAUCAAUUCUCAAAACAUUUGAAUAGUAAAAAUGGCAUUUGAACAGCAAUACAGAUAGAAAGAAUGCUUCUGAGAUCUAUCUAAUUGUUGUAAAGGCUUUUUAAUGAGGAAUGGUAUGUCUCUGUGCUACUUCAUAAUUCACUGUACCAUUCUAGAUGCCUCCAUAGCUUAAAUAUAAUAAAAUUUUAGUAGGAUUUUGAACACUCCCUAAGUUAGCAGGUAAGUCAAUUUAAUGUCAUAAAAGGAGAUGUAACUCUGGAGAUUUUAAAUAAUUUAAUCAGGUGUAACCAUUUCUUCUAAAGAUUUUUGGUAUUUUCUAUCAAGCUAAAAAGCAAAACAGCAUAUCCUAAUGCAUGGCUAAAGGCAGCAGCAAUGAUUGAUUCCAUUUCAUAUGUCUGUUGCUGGGCAGAAAAGUCAUUCUGCAAAAGCCAGCGCAGGCUUGGGAAAUCCUCCAGAAGCCUCUGCACUUACCAAAAACUGCUUAGCUUCCGCUCACUCUCUACUGUAGCAAAACCCCUAAUUUUGAUGGGAAACGGAAAAGACUUUUAUUUUUUAGUAAGUUUUUAGAUUUCUUCUAGGCCAAACUAGUAAUUUGCUUACACUCUCCUGUCCACAGCUGAAAAGUUGAUUUGAGUUCACCCUUUUUUACAUCCCCAUUAAUCCUUUGAUCUUGUGGAAAAAAAAAAAAAAAAAAGAUUUAUCCUGCCUCCUCUGAUAGCACUGCUGUAAGUUACUAAGCAGUUGUUUGCCCUUGGUGAUGGACAAUAAACAGAACUGUGAGACAUUCUUCAUGCAAUAUACUUUGCAGUAGGCAACGGUUAACAGCAGCGCUUCUGUAGUCUUUAGACCAUACACAUUCAAGGCUCACAAAAUACAAAUUAGUUUAUUUUGGACUCUACUGUGCACUCUCCUACAUGCUCACUCACUAAGUACCCCAUGCAGUAACACAUCAGAAGAACAAGGUUUGCUGUUGUCCUGGGAGGACUUUUUUUAUGUUAUCGCUAACUUGCAUUUUAUUAACUGAGCCUCAGGGGAGACAUGACAUUGCCAAUAUUUGUUAUUUUGUUGAAAGUUUCUCAACAUUUAACCUUCUUUAUCUGUGAGGACAAAAGAAGGGAGCUGGGAAUGCUAAAAUCUCAAACACAGAAAGGUUAAUCUAAAAGACUACGCAUGCAUAGAUGCACAUGCAUAUAUUUCUUUUAAAAAUCAUGCCAAUUCUUGGCUGAUCUCAUUCUUUAGAAACCUGAUUUGUGAUUUUGAGCACUUGCAGUUGGCAAUAUGCUACAGUUGGUUAGAAAUAGCAUAGUUUUUAUUUUCUUCCAGUGGGGAUAAAAUACAGGAAAAGGAUACAUAAUUUACAGAAAAUGAGAACAUGUUGUAAGUUAAUCUAAAUCCUCUCAGAAAUCUCAUUAUUUUUUUCCUUAUUUUCCCUAUUAUUCCUUCCUUAUCUCUGUACUAAUUGAUUCUUGCCUUUUAUUUGCAGCCUAAAUGAAGGCAGGAAAUUCAAGUAUUCCCAGAAACCCAAUCCUUGAAAAAAAAUUUACUGCUUUCUUUGAGCUCAUUGUUGCUCUGACUUUCCUGUUCUUUUUUUAAGCUGGGCAAACUACAUCGUCUUCCAGGUUUAUUAAGCUCUUAAAAACCCAUUAUUUACACUGAAUUACAGUUAACCACAUCUUUUAAAAUGUUACCAUACAUUGAACAGAACAGCGGAUUACCAUAUUUUACUCAUACAGUUACCCUUUCAGUUUAAUAUUCAGAGUUUUCUACCUUUACUUCAAUGUUACCUUAAUUACUUCUGAUGAAACAAAAAAUACAGCUGCAGUUGUUUUGCUUCUUUAAAGAAAGGGGCUUUGAUUGGCACUUAUAAAGGAAGAUGGAUUUCAAAUAAUAUUUAAAGAGAGAAAAUGUCUGUUAUGUAACUUAAAUUCUAAAAAUGGAAACAGUUUUUAGUUAUUAAUAUGGAAUUUUUAGAGCAUGAAACAAAUGGAUCCUAUCAUGCAUGAAUCAGAAUGAACUACUGAACAUACCUUUUUAUUCAUUGCUGCAUAAAUAUUCUGUGACUGAUUAUGAUUUGUAGUGAAUUAAACAAAAUAUAAAAUGUCUGCAGAAAAAAUAUGGAAUGUUUCUUUGACCUAAUGGUUAGUCUUAUGCAUGUUCUCACGAUACAUGCUAAUAGGAAUGAAAUGAGAGGAAGGGACAUUGAUACUAAGUUAGUGUUGCUGUGGCUGGGUGAAAAACUACAUGAUCAAUAGGACAUCUAGAAAACACCAUUAAUACCAUCUAAAGGAUUUUCCUGUGUUUGUUUGAAUUCUGUUUAUAUAUACCUCCAUUUGUAAAUUUUGAAUUGAUCACUGAAGUAAUGAUAAAGUACACCUGUAAGAAUGGGCCCAAUGCACUCAGUACUGGGUGCACAAAGCAUUAGCAUAACAUGGUCACUGAGUGAUUUAUAAGCCCUGUCAACACUGUUCUGUCGGGUUGCUUUUGAGGGCCAUGCUCCUUAGGCACAAACAAAGCACAAGGGCCUAAAGCUGAAAGAUCUUGUCUAUAUCUAUGCUGCAUGACCUAGGCACAAGUAGCUUCAGACAUGCAGAUUAUUCCAUAAGACUUUAUAGCACCCUUGAGAAAUUUCAGUUAGUUCUUGUGUUGUACCCGACUUGUGAUCCCUCAGAUUGUCUGCCAUAAGAAUUCUGUCUGCAUCUCACUGUUAUCUACUAGCUUUUCUGAUUACAUGAAAAAUGUGGGAAGAAGGAAGAGAACAUGAAUCCAGACCUUCAGGCUAUUAGUCUUCUCUAGUUUCCACUGAGCAGCCUGUACCUGCAUACGGCAGCAAACAAUAUAACAGCAUAACAAAUACCUGCUUCACAGGCUAAGACUGCCUGAAUUCCUGAUAAAACGCAAUGGUCUUUCCCACUGGAGAUACGAAUAUCAACACAGUCACCCUCCAUCACCCCCUACCUGAACAUCCUGAAAAAAGCAUUUCAGCUCUUAGACUCCACAAGAGUCCCUAGCAGAGCUGGGAGAGAUGUAGAACCCUUGUGGCAUAUUUUUUUCUGCUGGAAAAAGAAAGUAAACAUUAGUAUCAAUACACCUAAAAGGGUAGAAUAUCAGAUAAUUAGUUUUGGUUCAUGGGAAAUUAGUCCAGCAUGGCAGGUGGGAACUAAACAAGAUGGAAGAUUGGGUUGGAUGAUGGGGGAGAAAGAGACAAGUAGAGGCCAUGCAGCACUCUAUUCUAACUAUAAAUAACUGUUUUCUCUAUCAGUGCGUCCCUGGGUUUGGAGUCUGGCUGCAGACAGACCUCUUACCAGUUAAGCACUAACUCUCUUGAGCAUGACCACUGGGAUUUGGGACAGGCUGGGUGUCAGACCCAGGCCUACCCACCACACACCUAUGUUUAGCCUCUGUCUACAGACAAAAUGGCUGCUGGUCUGCAACUGGGUGCUGUGCUGCAGAGUGGGCACCUCUCAGACUCCACAGUGGACACCCUAUGGCCCCGCCACAGGAAGGUGUUGCCAGGCAGAAGGUCAACAGGGCAGGAGGCCUAAGGAUAUGAGGAUGAAGAAGGCAAAGAGGCCUCACCAGCCUUCAAUGCUAAAGCAAAAGUAGUGGCUGUGCCACACUGGGGUCAUCCCCCAAGUUCUGGCUACAGCCAGUCCCAGUGACUGUCCCCACAAACUCUCAGGGAAAAUUCCUUGGCAGCAUUUGUGGAGUGCAUCCUGUCUGGCACCAGAGUGGCAGUAUGAGCAGCCAAAUAUAUUCCAAUUGUAUGCAUUUUUCCAAGACAUUACGUGCUUCCAGGGCCGCUAGGCUAUGUAGUAAUCCCC